rnacentral:rRNA from 1 species
UACGAAGGGGGCUAGCGUUGCUCGGAAUCACUGGGCGUAAAGCGCACGUAGGCGGAUUGUUAAGUCAGGGGUGAAAUCCUGGAGCUCAACUCCAGAACUGCCUUUGAUACUGGAGAGCUUGAGUCCGGAAGAGGUGAGUGGAACUCCGAGUGUAGAGGUGAAAUUCGUAGAUAUUCGGAAGAACAUCAGUGGCGAAGGCGGCCUGCUGGGCUGUUGCUGACGCUGAGGCGCGACAGCGUGGGGAGCAAACAGG